AUUCCAGCUCCAAUAGCGAAUACUAAUUCUGCUGCAGUUAAAAAGCUCGUAGUUGAACUUCUGGUAGGACAGAUCCGGCCUUUGGAUGAAUGUCCAUUGUAUGCUGUGUGUCUUGUCUGGCCAUCCUUUAUGUCUUUUAGGCGUAAUCUUUCACUGUAAAAAAAUUAGGGUGUUUCAAGCAAAAGUUAUUUGGAAUAUAUUAGUAUGGGAUGAUAAGAUAGGCUCUUGAGUGCUACUUUGUUGGUUUCUAAGGCCGAGGUAAUGAUUAAUAGGGAUAGUUGGGGGCGUCUAUAUUCCGUUGUCAGAGGUGAAAUUCUUGGAUUUACGGAAGAUAAACUACUGCGAAAGCAUUCGCCAAGGAUGUUUUCAUUA
rnacentral:rRNA from 1 species